AUGCUAAGCACCUUAUAAAUAGCCUGAUGCAGGUACUGUUUAUUGUCCCCUCCACGUCUGGACCCUCUUGGCCACAUACAACAGUCAUUAGUAAGUCUUACAUGCACCUUCCAGUCAUGAAAAGCUACUUCUUAAGGUUAAAGCCACUCUUUUGUAUAUAUUUUUGUAGCCUGGAUAGCCCAACCUAAAUAAUGUUAGCUUCCACCCAAGGCUUUGGGAUGCCUUCAGUGGUCCUUCAAGCACAGUCUCCUUUUCAUUUGUAGAAGAGCCCUUCCACAAAAGGCAGGGCUAGACUGUAGUUCCAGCUAAUAUGUGCAUCUCAGUUGCAUGUGCCUCAUCUCCCUGUAUCUACAUGAGUGACCUUUGCAUGGCUAGUUUCUUCUGUGUCUUUUUUGAUGCAGCUCUUUGUGUCUUGUUUGCUUAUAUAGAAACCAUGAUCAGGAAGGUAGUUUAUAUCAGAGUGGAGUUAGUGCCAUUUUCCAAACACUGAAAGCUCCACCAAACAUUUGGUAGUAUAAAGAAACUGUGCACUUCCUUGUGGAAAAGUAAAGCCCUUUUAUUCUUGGCUUCUUUUCGGACUUCCAAAUGUGACUCCCUUCACAGUUGCCUUGGUGAUUUUUUUGCUCAUCUGUCAUUGCAGGUGGUCCUUAUUCUUCACCUGUUUCCUCUUCCUCCAUUAUUUACUGAGUGACUUGACCUGUGAUAAUAUAAACACAAGAAGGGCUCCAGAAGUCAUGGAUAACUAUUGGAUGAUGGUGAUAAAAAGCUUUCCUAUAAGAAAUUCCACUUUGGUUCCCAAAAAGACAUCCCAAAGGAAAGUACACUACAAGAAGACUAUGCAUGAUACAAACCUAAAAGACAAGAGUAACAAGGAUGACGCCGAUAAGGGAGGCUCUGGUCAAAUGAUGAAUGACCUGUGUUCCAUGCUAAGGAAACAGAAAGUAUUGAGGGUUUCAGCAGUGUAGAAAAUGAUCAAAUCUAUGUUCUGAAAUCACUCUGGUGCCUAGGAUAGUGGAUAAGAGUUUGGAGAAAUGAGAGACUGGAGGAAUAAUUUGGAAGUCAAAACAGGAGCUUCAACAGCCAGAGUUGGAAAUAUAGAUGUUCUAAUGGGGAAGGGAGAGAAGAAAUGGCAAGAUCUAUAUUCAGCUAUCUUUGCAAGAUGACAAAAUUCAAAGCGGUCGAAUCCUCUGGAAUCUUGUAUAUUUCUAUCAUACAGGAUGCUAUGCUCAUAUACUGUUGACUGAAGCUUUAUGUAAUAAAGCCUCAGCAUAAAAAAGCAACAAAAACCAAAAAAAAAAAUAGUAGACAUCAAAGAACCUCACCAAAGAGUGGAAAAAUAACUUUGGGAAAUACACUACCAGGAUAAAGUCUGAGGGUCAGGGAAGCGGGGGGAUAUAUAUAAAUCUCAAAGGAAUACAGAACAUUCAAAAGUUUUCCAGUCCUGAGUGAUUUAAAGGACAAUGAGAUAGCAAUUUAAAAGGUAGCAGACUCAGAUUCAAGAAAGAGAAUAUAACACAUUUCACUUAGCUAAUCAGUGGCAAAAUGUUUUAUAAUUUUUUACUGUUAUUAUUUACAAAUACAACUGAGAAGCACAGAGGUAGACUGUCAAACAGUGGUUGAACAGUUAUUGGAAGACAGGACUAAAUAAUGAAUAAAGUCAGAAAAGCUCAUCA